rnacentral:rRNA from 1 species
UACGAAGGGGGCUAGCGUUGCUCGGAAUCACUGGGCGUAAAGCGCACGUAGGCGGAUCGUUAAGUCGGGGGUGAAAUCCUGGAGCUCAACUCCAGAACUGCCUUCGAUACUGGCGAUCUUGAGUCCGGAAGAGGUGAGUGGAACUCCUAGUGUAGAGGUGGAAUUCGUAGAUAUUAGGAAGAACACCAGUGGCGAAGGCGGCUCACUGGUCCGGUACUGACGCUGAGGUAGCGAAAGCCGGAGGGAGCAAGAGGGGAU